rnacentral:misc_RNA from 1 species
GAUGAAGAACGUAGUGAAAUGCGAUAAGUAGUGUGAAUUGCAGAAUUCAGUGAAUCAUCGAAUCUUUGAACGCACAUUGCGGCCAUAGGUAUUCCUUUGGCCAUGCCUGUUCGAGCGUCAUUUACACCCUCAAGCCUAGCUUGGUGUUGGGCGUCUGUCCCGCCGUUUUCGCGCGCGGACUCGCCUCAAAGUCAUUGGCGGCGGUCGUGCCGGCCCCCUCGCGCAGCACAUUUGCGCUUCUCGGAGGCCCGGCGGAUCCGCGCUCCAGCAAGACCUUUCACGACUUGACCUCGGAUCAGGUAGGGAUACCCGCUGAACUUAAGCAUAUCAAUAAGCGGAGGA